rnacentral:rRNA from 1 species
AGAAUCAACGCUGGCGGCGUGCCUCAGACAUGCAAGUCGAACGCGAAAUCCCGAGCAAUCGGGAAAGUAGAGUGGCGCACGGGUGAGUAACACGUAGGUAAUCUACCUUUGGAUGGGGAAUAACAACCGGAAACGGUUGCUAAUACCGCAUAAUGCAGCGGCACCUAAUGGUGACAGUUGUUAAAGCGGGGGAUCGAAAGACCUCGCGUCUAAGGAGGAGCCUGCGGCGGAUUAGCUAGUUGGUAAGGUAAUGGCUUACCAAGGCUACGAUCCGUAACCGGCCUGAGAGGGCGGUCGGUCACACUGACACUGACAUACGGGUCAGCUCCUACGGGAAGCAGCAGGUCGGGAAUUUUGGGCAAGUGGGCGUAAAGGCCUGGAACCCAGCCAACGGCCGCGUGAACGGAGUAGAAAUCCCGUCGGAGUACGUAACGUUCGACUAAGGAACGGAAGUAAGUUAAGUA